rnacentral:SRP_RNA from 1 species
UCGUGCUAGAUGGGGAGGUAGCGGUGCCCUGUAACCUGCAACCCGCUAGAGCAGGAUCAAUGCCAUAGUGCGGUUCAUGCUGUGCCGCAGAAAAGCAGAAAGUGAUGUUGAAAUUUCAAUCCAUCGCAAUGACUGCCCACUUAACCCCGUCAGGCCCGGAAGGGAGCAGCGGUAGGUGCCGUUUUCAUGUGCCGAUGGAUCCCUGGAAUGGAGUUAACUGCUGUUUGGAUGUCGUUUCCAGGUGGGUCAAGCUAUGGUGCACGG